GAAGGAUCAGAAAAGGACAUUUGAAGGU
rnacentral:piRNA from 1 species